rnacentral:ribozyme from 1 species
AAUGGAAAGAAGAAAAGACAAAGAACACAACACUAGACUGGGUGAACGAGAUCCGUGUGGUUGUUCUGUUUCCAUUUUAAUUCAACUAAAUUCACGCGUUCCAUUCUAUUCCCUUGUAAUUUAGUUGAAUUAAAAGGAACAG